AACGAACGCUGGCGGCAUGCCUAACACAUGCAAGUCGAACGAGACCUUCGGGUCUAGUGGCGCACGGGUGCGUAACGCGUGGGAACCUGCCCUUAGAUUCGGAAUAACUCCCCGAAAGGGGUGCUAAUACCGGAUAAUGUCUUCGGACCAAAGAUUUAUCGCCUUUGGAUGGGCCCGCGUUGGAUUAGCUAGUUGGUAGGGUAAAAGCCUACCAAGGCGACGAUCCAUAGCUGGUCUGAGAGGAUGAUCAGCCACACUGGGACUGAGACACGGCCCAGACUCUUACGGGAGGCAGCAGUGGGGAAUAUUGGACAAUGGGCGAAAGCCUGAUCCAGCAAUGCCGCGUGAGUGAUGAAGGCCUUAGGGUUGUAAAGCUCUUUUACCCGGGAUGAUAAUGACAGUACCGGGAGAAUAAGCUCCGGCUAACUCCGUG
rnacentral:rRNA from 1 species